GACGGAGGAUGCAAGUGUUAUCCGGAAUCACUGGGCGUAAAGCGUCUGUAGGUGGUUUAAUAAGUCAACUGUUAAAUCUUGAGGCUCAGCUUCAAAAAUCGCAGUCGAAACUAUUAGACUAGAGUAUAGUAGGGGUAAAGGGAAUUUCCAGUGGAGCGGUGAAAUGCGUAGAGAUUGGAAAAGAACACCAACGGCGAAAGCACUCUGCUGGGCCGACACUGACACUGAGAGACGAAAGCUAGGGGAGCAAUGGG
rnacentral:rRNA from 1 species